rnacentral:rRNA from 1 species
UACGGGGGGAGCAAGCGUUGUUCGGAUUUACUGGGCGUAAAGGGCGCGUAGGCGGCCACCGCAAGUCGACUGUGAAAUCUCCGGGCUUAACCCGGAAAGGUCAGCCGAUACUGCGGGGCUAGAGUGCAGAAGGGGCAACUGGAAUUCUCGGUGUAGCGGUGAAAUGCGCAGAUAUCAGGAGGAACACCAGUGGCGAAGGCGGUGCUCUGGGCCGGAACUGACGCUGAGGAGCGAAAGCGUGGGGAGCAAACAGG